AAGGACAUGUAGGGAAUUUCUAAAUUCCCAAGGGUAUUUUCGUAAUUUGGACAAAAGACAGAAAAUGGAAUUUCUCAAAUUCCGAGGGGCAAAACUGUCUUUUUCCCAGAAAACCCUAAUGCCCUUUCCCCUUUUCGCUGCUGCCGCCGCCGCCACCCUGCCGGCGGCGGCCUGUGCGGCGGGGCGAGGGCACUGCCCUCGCUUGCAGGUGGCACGCCCGCUGGCGGCGAUGCCGC
rnacentral:lncRNA from 1 species